rnacentral:rRNA from 1 species
ACUGCUCAGUAACACGUGGAUAACGUGCCCUUUGGUGGAGGAUAAUCUCGGGAAAUUGAGGAUAAUACUCCAUAGAUCAUGAGAUCUGGAAUGACUUAUGGUCCAAAGUUCCGGCGCCAAAGGAUCGGUCUGCGGCCUAUCAGGUAGUAGUGGGUGUAACGUACCUACUAGCCUAUGACGGGUAUGGGCCUUGAGAGAGGGAGCCCAGAGUUGGAUUCUGAGACACGAAUCCAGGCCUUACGGGGCGCAGCAGUCGCGAAAACUUCACACUGGGGGCAACCCCGACGAGGGAAUUCCUAGUGCUAGCACAUUAGUGUUAGCUUUUCUUCAGCGUAGAUAACUGGAGGAAUAAGGGCUGGGUAAGACGGGUGCCAGCCGCCGCGGUAAUACCUGCAGCCCAAGUGGUGGUCGAUAUUAUUGAGUCUAAAACGUUCGUAGCCGGUCUAAUAAAUCCUUGGGUAAAUCGGGGGGCUUAACCUUCCGAAUUCCGAGGAGACUGUUAGACUUGGGACCGGGAGAGGCAAGAGGUACUUCUGGGGUAGGGGUAAAAUCCUGUAAUCCUAGAAGGACCACCGGUGGCGAAGGCGUCUUGCUAGAACGGAUCCGACGGUGAGGGACGAAGCCCUGGGUCGCAAACGGGAUUAGAUACCCCGGUAGUCCAGGGUGUAAACGCUGCAGACUUGGUGUUGGGGGCCCUUCGGGGGCAUUCAGUGCCGGAGAGAAGUUGUUAAGUCUGCUACUUGGGGAGUACGUCCGCAAGGAUGAAACUUAAAGGAAUUGGCGGGGGAG